CUCUUGCGGUGAUGAAUUAUGAAAAUUUUCACAUGUCAGACUUCAGAGAUUUUUUUUCUAAGAAAUCUAUGAGAAGUCAAUUCAUUCUUCUGAGCAGAG